CACUCUCCACACCUAACAUGCUCCUCCAAGGAAACCAAAACUCUACGUGAGCUCACUGUUCAUCUUCCUUCAUUGAUGCUUCCGCCAUUCCUCCAAAGAAAACACAAAUCGGUUGAAGGCAUACUCCAUCAAGUGGUAUCAUGAGCCUAGGUUCUUCAAGAGCUAAGUGUGCCUUCUUCUUUUCAUUUUAAUUCUGUUUUUGUCUUAAUUCCUUGUUGUUCAUCUUUUUCCUUAAUGUCUU
rnacentral:lncRNA from 1 species